ACUCAAAGGAAUAGACGGGGGCCCGCACAAGCGGUGGAGCAUGUGGCUCAAUUCGAUGCAACGCGAAGAACCUUACCUGGCCUUGACAUCAUCCGUGAAAGUCGGUGAAAGCCGAUGACGGCCCGAAAGGGUGCUGGGGGAUGACAGGUGCUGCAUGGUUGUCGUCAGCUCGUGUCGUGAGAUGUUGGCUUAAGUGCCGCAACGAGCGCAACCCCUGUGGUUAGUUGCCAACUACGCGCAAGCGUGGCGCACUCUAACCAGACUGCCCCGAUUCUUAUCUGGGAGGAAGGUGGGGAUGACGUCAAAUCAGUAUGGCCCUUACGGCCAGGGCUGCACACGUGCUACAAUGCUCGGCACAAUGGGACGCAAGACCGCGAGGUGGAGCAAACCCCCAAAACCGAGCUCAGUUCAGAUUGAAGGCUGCAACUCGCCUCCAUGAAGCUGGAAUCGCUAGUAAUGGUACAUCAGCAACGGUACCGUGAAUACGUUCCCGGGCCUUGUACACACCGCCCGU
rnacentral:rRNA from 1 species